CUGGCCCUGGAGGGGGGAAACGGCGAGGGAGAAGGCGAAACGAGUCUCCAGUGUGUUCUUGGGGCCUGGUGCGAGGCCCAGAGAAUUCUCUGCAGGCCUUUGCCCGGGCACUGAUUAAGGCUGCGAAGAGACGCACCGGGCUGCGGGCUUAGUAGCUUCAGGCUUCUGAAGUCAGAGGGAGGGCUGAGAGCUUACACUUCUGGAGCUCCCCGGGAGACGGCAACUACCCAACCGUGUGGCACCCAGAAAUACUCUCCACACCAUGCUGCACUGCUGCGGAUGAGGGAAGGAUGGUGUCGGGGCUUCAAGACUGUUUUUCCUACCUCUUCAGUGCCUCUUUCAGUGAUAUGAAGUUAAAACCAGGAACAUGGAGGAGACAUAUUUCCACCUAUUUCUCUCCAUAAGUAUAAAAGACCAUAAAAGACCAUCUAGGGACUUCAGAACCCAAAUAAUGACACAAUGGUUCUGAAGCAACACUGUAACUGCUGAAUGCUUCUGGCUGCUUCUUUCCACAGUAAAAGAUGAAAAGAAAUAUCUUUUAUUGAGAUAGACUGAGGUCCAGGAAAAACAAGUGCAACUUCAUGGUCCUUUUCUUCAUAUUCUGGAAUACAAGAAAACGUGUAAAUG
rnacentral:lncRNA from 1 species